GCCGGGCAUGGUGGCGCAUGCCUGUAAUCCCAGCUACUCGGGAGGCUGAGGCACAGGAAUCGCUUGAACCCAGGAGGUGGAGGUUGCAGUGAGACGAGAUCGUGGUGCCACUGCACUCCAGCCUGGGUGACAGAGUGAGACUCCAUCUCAA
rnacentral:sRNA from 1 species